AGCACAGCGCAGCGCUCCUGGAGAGGCUGUGGGUUCGUGGCAUCCGCGCCGCGGCCGCAAGUAUAGCAGGUUUCGUACCUGGUGUUCAUCGCCGUUAAGUCAUCGCUGCUGCCACCCAGGCACGGCUCUCUAUGCCGCCGCUCCCUCCACCCUCUAGGCACUGCCUGCCGUAAGAAUUUUAACUGCGACACUCGCUUCAGCAGGAGAUUUUAUUGGCUGCAGACACACGCAGCAUCUUCUUGCGCUCCUCCUUGAGGUGGAUGGGCAGCUAGCUGGAGAUGACACAGGAUGAUGCGCAUCUUUCGCACGCUGGCUCCAAGAUCUCCGCUGCCAGAUGCAGCAACAAAGCUUCUUUGUACAGACAGCCCUGGACACACUUCCAGCAGCAAUUCUUCUUGCAGGAACUGGUGCAAGAACAGGAUUUAUUCGUGGCACAGGAGCAGUUGGUGUCCACUGGGAGUGGAGGCAGAAGAGAGACCAGAGCGGGUAUGUUAGGAGAGAAAGCAGUGACUUCAACAGAAGUGGAGUAAAUAAAGAUGAUCACAGAACUUGGAAGCUGACGAAAUUAAUUUUGGAAAAGAGCUGGCUUGGAGCAUGACAGAAGAAUUCGAUGGAAAGAGUGCUGGGAGCCCAACUCAAGACUGAUGUGUGCUUGGCAGGCAGUCUACCCCCGAUCUCAGUCCUCCAGCCUUUCGGCCUUUUUUCCUUUUUGGAGACAGAAUUGCAUCAUAUGGCAUCCUACACAGUCCUGCCUCAGUCUCUGCAGUGCUGGGAUUGUAGGCCUAUGCCACCUAGCCUUUCUACAAUACAAACAAAUAUGAAAAGAAGAGGGACUUCUUUGGAAAGGAGUACAGGGACUAUGGAAGAGAUGAAAAGAUAAUAUUGUCAGAAAUUAUGCCGCUUUUGAAGAGAUAAACUGAACUCUUGAUUCUGUGAGGUUAUUAAAGAAUAUUAAUUUUCAAAUCACGGUAAAAUCUUGAUUCAGCAACACAUGAGGAUAAUCAUUGUGUCCAUGGAAACCUUGGGAAGCAGUUGAAAGCCUGGUCCCUCUUGCCUGGAGCAUUAACACAACGUGGCUGCAAAGUUAGUCCUUUCCCGCUACCAUCUCCUGAAUACUGGGACUAACUACACGUAUGCACGAACCUGCCCAUCUUUGCCUCUGUUAACAGCUGCCACUGUCUCUUCACGACAUGAUGGCUGACCUAGGUUGGAAGGAACAGAGCCAGUUGGCCAUGGACUGAAACUUUUGGAACUGAUUCUGAGGAGUUAAUGUUUCCAUGAAUAUCUCAGAAGGAGAUGUGGACAAACGAACAGUUAUCUCACUCCUGUAGGUUGGACUACAGUGAUCACUGAGUAGGAGCUUCGUCUUUAAAAUCUGGGGUGUGCUGUUAUGCAAUCUUCUUUCCCUGCCCAGUACUGGAUCUGUGAAAAGCUGAAUCAUGAAUCAGUGAGUGUGCGGAUUGGAACCCAAGUUGCUCUCUGGAUAGAACGAAAGGAGUCGUGCCCCAAGAAGAUGGAGAGGGAAGUUAUGAAAUGCUGUGACCAAAUAACAAAUGCUGAUGUUUGGGGAGAUAACUGUUUCCCAUAGGAAAUAGAGUGAAUGCGAUGUCUUUCUUUUGUGAGGGAUUCAUAGACCGCUUCUCAACGCUUGUUACAUGUUACUCCUUUUUUCGAGAUUUUUAUUUACCUAACUGGGAAAGAAACCAGAACAAGGUUUUCAUUGAAUUCUGAUACAGGUAUUUAAAGACUUACGGACAAGAUAUAGAAGAAGAAGUGGUAAUUAACUGAUUAAAGAAGUACAGUUUAUAUCCAGUAGACAGACAGGCUCCAGACAUCCUUAGUGCUGUCUUAGCAUCAAAGGUUAAUCUACCUAAUACUUGUCAUCCUGAAAUGCAUGGUGGAACAUCCAACAGACAAGAGCUACUUCAGGGAAGGACUAUGAUUUUUGUCGUGGAAGACAUUUAACACAGGGCAGCUCCUGUGCACUUACAUGAUAGAUAUUGCUCUUCCGGGGACUCUGAAUGCUCAUCCCACUUUCAGCUCACUAGGCACAUCGAACUAGAAAUUUUAUCAUCUCGUGAAUUAGUCCAAUACCUGAAGGAGCAAGAGAACCAACACCCAGUUGACAAGAAUAUGACCUGUUGAUUGAAGACCAUUAAGAAAGUAACUUGAUUCAGUUGGACUGGACUUUUUUAUUCUAUUGAAAAAGGAAUUUAUUUCCCCUCAGUGAACGUAACAUGAUCAACAUUUUGAAAGUUGUGAACAUGCAUAGUUCUAUAAUUUACAAAAUAAUUAUAAAAAUCUGAGUAUGGAUGCAGCAUAAUUUCAGAACAGAAUAGCCAUCAUACUUUUUAUAUAUCUUAAAUUCGAGUUUUCAAGAGUAUAUUUCUAUGUUAUAUCCUUUGAUUAGUACAAUAUAAAAUCUACAUCUAAUAUGUACUUCAGGUUUUAUUAGAUCAUGCCAUAUUACUGUACAAUUUGGACUUUUCCAUUUUUAUAUAAAAUGUAACAUGCAUUGUACAUUAAUAUUUAUAUAUCUUGUUUAUUUAUAUAUCUUUAGAAUUAAUUUCUGCCAAUUAUUUUCUUUAUUUGAAUACUUGGGGUAUCAUAAAGGUGCUGUUGAGGUAUUCUCAAUAUGCUUGUACAACUUCCUGCCUGUAGUUAAUAAAUGUGGAUAUUUCAUUAAACAAUUGAAAUAUAACAUUUUGAUGGUAUCUGAUUGUAGUUCUAUAGAUUGUAAAAUAUAUGUAGUUGCAUAUCUUCA
rnacentral:lncRNA from 1 species